rnacentral:rRNA from 1 species
AAGUGCGUAGGCUUGAGAGUUAGGUAAAUCCGGCUCUCUCUAAGGCUGAGACACGACGUCGAGCUGCUACGGCAGUGAAGUCAUUGAUGCCAUGCUUCCAGGAAAAGCCUCUAAGCUUCAGAUAGUCAGGAAUCGUACCCCAAACCGACACAGGUGGUCGGGUAGAGAAUACCAAGGCGCUUGAGAGAACUCGGGUGAAGGAACUAGGCAAAAUGGUACCGUAACUUCGGGAGAAGGUACGCUCUUGAUGGUGAAGUCCCUCGCGGAUGGAGCUGACGAGAGUCGCAGAUACCAGGUGGCUGCAACUGUUUAUUAAAAACACAGCACUGUGCAAAAUCGCAAGAUGACGUAUACGGUGUGACGCCUGCCCGGUGCCGGAAGGUUAAUUGAUGGGGUUAGCGCAAGCGAAGCUCUUGAUCGAAGCCCCGGUAAACGGCGGCCGUAACUAUAACGGUCCUAAGGUAGCGAAAUUCCUUGUCGGGUAAGUUCCGACCUGCACGAAUGGCGUAAUGAUGGCCACGCUGUCUCCACCCGAGACUCAGUGAAAUUGAAAUCGCUGUGAAGAUGCAGUGUACCCGCGGCUAGACGGAAAGACCCCGUGAACCUUUACUACAGCUUGGCACUGAACAUUGAACCUACAUGUGUAGGAUAGGUGGGAGGCUAUGAAGACGUGACGCCAGUUGCGUUGGAGCCGUCCUUGAAAUACCACCCUUGUAUGUUUGAUGUUCUAACUUAGACCCGUUAUCCGGGUUGAGGACAGUGCCUGGUGGGUAGUUUGACUGGGGCGGUCUCCUCCCAAAGAGUAACGGAGGAGCACGAAGGUGGGCUAAUCACGGUUGGACAUCGUGAGGUUAGUGCAAUGGCAUAAGCCCGCUUAACUGCGAGAAUGACGGUUCGAGCAGGUGCGAAAGCAGGUCAUAGUGAUCCGGUGGUUCUGUAUGGAAGGGCCAUCGCUCAACGGAUAAAAGGUACUCCGGGGAUAACAGGCUGAUACCGCCCAAGAGUUCAUAUCGACGGCGGUGUUUGGCACCUCGAUGUCGGCUCAUCACAUCCUGGGGCUGAAGUCGGUCCCAAGGGUAUGGCUGUUCGCCAUUUAAAGUGGUACGCGAGCUGGGUUUAGAACGUCGUGAGACAGUUCGGUCCCUAUCUGCCGUGGGCGUUGGAAGAUUGAAGGGGGCUGCUCCUAGUACGAGAGGACCGGAGUGGACGAACCUCUGGUGUUCGGGUUGUGUCGCCAGACGCAUUGCCCGGUAGCUAAGUUCGGAAUUGAUAAGCGCUGAAAGCAUCUAAGCGCGAAGCGAGCCCUGAGAUGAGUCUUCCCUGAUACUUUAAGUAUCCUAAAGGGUUGUUCGAGACUAGAACGUUGAUAGGCAGGGUGUGUAAGCGUUGUGAGGCGUUGAGCUAACCUGUACUAAUUGCCCGUGAGGCUUAACCAUACAACACCCA